AAGAAAGGAUGUGGAUAUAAGCACUCAUCCAAUGGCAACUCCAUCAAUGCCUAGACCAAUUUCAUGUUGCUUCCCUUGAGAACACAUUUUAGGCCUAUCUUCGGGACAAAUUUCAGAAUAUUGAUUAGACUCACUUCAUGUCAUUUCUCUUAUUCAAGCUCCUAUGGUUGUUAGUCAGAGAUAUGCAACCAUCAUCAUGAGGAUCAAAGAUCUGCU